rnacentral:rRNA from 1 species
UGAGGAAUAUUGGUCAAUGGACGCAAGUCUGAACCAGCCAAGUAGCGUGCAGGAUGACGGCCCUAUGGGUUGUAAACUGCUUUUAUAUGGGGAUAAAGUGAGGGACGUGUCCCUUAUUGCAUGUACCAUACGAAUAAGGACCGGCUAAUUCCGUGCCAGCAGCCGCGGUAAUACGGAAGGUCCAGGCGUUAUCCGGAUUUAUUGGGUUUAAAGGGAGCGUAGGCUGUUUGUUAAGCGUGUUGUGAAAUGUAGGAGCUCAACUUUUAGAUUGCAGCGCGAACUGGCAGACUUGAGUGCGCACAACGUAGGCGGAAUUCAUGGUGUAGCGGUGAAAUGCUUAGAUAUCAUGACGAACUCCGAUUGCGAAGGCAGCUUACGGGAGCGCAACUGACGCUAAAGCUCGAAGGUGCGGGUAUCGAACAGG